rnacentral:rRNA from 1 species
UUUGGAAUUUUGGACAAUGGGCGAAAGCCUGACGCAGCGACGCCGCGUGAAGGAUGAAGGUCUUCGGAUUGUAAACUUCUGUUAAGUGGGAAGAAAGAGCCAUAAGUAAUAUGUAUGGAAGAUGACGGUACCAUUAGAGAAAGCACCGGCUAAUCUCGUGCCAGCAGCCGCGGUAAUACGAGAGGUGCAAACGUUAUUCGGAUUUACUGGGCGUAAAGGGUGCGUAGACGGUAUGAUAAGUCAACUGUUUAAUUUUCUGGCCUAACCAGAAAUAUGCGGUAGAAACUGUCGUACUAGAGGAUGGAAGAGAGAAGUGGAAUUCUCGGAGUAGCGGUAAAAUGCGUAGAUCUCGAGAGGAACACCGAUGGCGAAAGCAGCUUCUUGGUCCAUUUCUGACGUUGAGGCACGAAAGCGUGGGGAGCAAACAGG